rnacentral:rRNA from 1 species
UACGUAGGGUGCGAGCGUUAAUCGGAAUUACUGGGCGUAAAGCGUGCGCAGGCGGUUUUGUAAGCCAGAUGUGAAAUCCCCGGGCUUAACCUGGGAAUGGCAUUUGGGACUGCAAGGCUUGAGUGCGGCAGAGGAGACUGGAAUUCCUGGUGUAGCAGUGAAAUGCGUAGAUAUCAGGAGGAACACCGAUGGCGAAGGCAGGUCUCUGGGCUGACACUAACGCUCAUGCACGAAAGCGUGGGGAGCAAACAGG